GCGCGUGGGAGGGGAAAAAAUACCACCUCGCAGCUUAAUCCCCCCCUAUUCUCUUCUAUAAUGGACGAUUCCGGAGUGAGUCGGUGACGUAGGGACCCUGUGAAGCUAUUUAUAGGAUGGGGAAACUCUACUCUUGAUGCGUACGUUCUCGAAAUUUCCAAAAUGGCGGCCAGUAGAAGCGGGAAACGGCGAGCAGGUAAGCCACCCGUUUUUUCCCUAUAUAUCUCAAAUAUGAAUACUUCUAUAUUAGAAUAUGAAAAUAGACAUUCUAAAGUUUGUUAUGAUGUGCAGAUUGUUGAAUUUCGUUAUCCGUUGCACUCAGUAAUAGCGCUCUAAAAUAGGACAUGUUUGUUUUGUCAAUUCAGGGCCUCCGGCAGCACUUGAGUUCAAUGACCAAGCGUUCGCGUGCGAAGUUGAACAUAUCUCUGGCUGGACAUCAGACGAAAUUGACCGGUUGCUUACGGAAUACAGCGUUCCAGAUCAUUGGAAUGGAAUUCUGACCACAGCAUUGUUGGAGACAAUCAGAUAUCGUAUUGAGCACUCGACCACCAAAAGCUACAAACGUGAUUUCCCACCAAUAUUUUCUGCCCUCAACCUCAACUUGCCUACCAGUACCAACUUAAAUGGACUACUCCAAAAAGUACAACGACAUGUAGCCAAAUCAAAAUGAAUAAUUAAUUAGGCUUAUUUGCAUAAUGGCGUGUAAAACUUUGAAAUAUACACUUUAAAAUGAAUGUCUAUACACAAACAAGAAUUGUGCCAAGUUUCAUAGCUGUAACUACUUUAGUUACCCCAGGAGAGCCUCACGCAUAUUUAAUUAGCUGGACUUAGUCAUUUUUUGAACAUUUUGGGGUUUCCCGUUAUGGAAUUUUGGAUAAUGUGCCAUUUUUGGUGACCGUAAAAAAAAAAAUUCAAUGUAAUAGAACCUCCAUUUCUCUUUUGCAAGUAGGUUUGACCUGUGUACUAUAAGAAAAGAAACACUAACAGGGUUUAAAAUUGAGAAAAAACAAUGAAAACUUAAAGGAAAAACUGAAAAGAAAGCAUUUUCCACUUUUUGCCCGUAAAUGGUUAAAACAGGUGCUUUAAACAAUAAACAAAAAUUUGCAUAAAAAGAGAAUCGAA